UGCCUCGUUGGGCGAUACGCCAUAUUGGCGCGGCGAUUGUGAAAUAGAAGAGUGAUAUCUCUUAGUGAACCGACUAUUUUCGAAACUGCAACAACAUGAGGAAUGUUAAAACUAGAAAACAGGGAAUCACAUUUCACAGGUACCAGUGCAAACAGUCUGGAUUUUCAGCUGUGCCUCCUGGAAGGCCUGAACAGAUGGAACCAGCAUCCCUGUCAGUGAAGACUGCCUCACUUGUGAGCCACUCAGGUGACCUUGUGCAGUCUGUAAACACCUAAAGGUUUUUGAGAGGAAGCUGGUGCCCAGUUUUCAGCCCCCUGCAUAAUAUAGUGCACUAGGAGAAUGGAGAAAGCAGUGAGCUGGACUGAUGACGAGUACUGGGCAGCCUGGGAUAAAUGGGAUGAGCACUAGGAGAAUGGACAAAGCAGUGAGCUGGACUGAUGAUGAGUACUGGGCAGCCUGGAAUAAGUGGGAUGAGGUGAUUGAUUGGGGAGAUGAAGGGUCUUCACCCACAACACCUCCCUCUGUCCAGGCUGGCACCAGCACUGGAGAUGUGGAUGCUGGGGUGGAACAUCACCAGCAGCCAGUAUUCAAAUGUGUGUAUUUCAGAGCUUUUUUUAACAUGAGUUGGAGACAGUCUGAUGUUAAUUGGAGUUUAAAAAAUUGGUCGGCACUAUGAAAAUGAUUCUCACUGACUGAAUAACAGCAGAAUAGUUGCUGUAAUCAUAUUUCAAUGUACAAUAAAGAGAAAUGUUUCUGUGCAACAGGCCAGCAAAAUAAACUGGUUUUGAGGAUGAGACUCCAUCUGUGUGUCCAGCCUCAGC